CCAUCCACUUGCGUCUUCCGGGCGAGAGAACAUAUCGGGCAUGAAGUGCAUUCGCUUUGGAUGAUGGAAAGCGAUAUGGUCAUCCCAAUCUCGACGUAUGAUCUCCUGUCUAUAAUCCCCCUUCUGAAGAUGUUCAAUGAGCCAGAGUUGUAGUAGAAGAUUGCACCCUUCAAAGUGUGGUGGCCCUUGUUGACAUUUCUCUAAGGCUCGGUACAGUUCGACGAGGAUCAUGAGUGUUAUGCUUAAUGUCUCUCGUAGAUACCCUCCGUUAUGGGUUUGGUUACCAUGGCUAGUCUAGUAUGGAUUCUAGCCUUUUUUCAUUGGAAAGACUAUCAUGCCCAAGAAACAGAACAUGAAUACAAAUGCCCUCCUAUGUAUAAGCCCAAAAGAGGCGAGGGCGAACUCGUC
rnacentral:lncRNA from 1 species